GAAGGACCGCAGAAUGCCAGGCUGGCGGGCAGAAAUACUGAAGCAGCCCAGAUAUUUGAUGAUUCACUGCAGACACUGCACUGACGCAGGCCCACCACCUAUAACAGCUACCCACUACCUACCGUAUUCCAGAAGCUGUGCAAUGAUGAUUAAGGCCCAGGACCUGGCUUCAGAAGUUUCACAUCUGACCCCACUGUGGAAUAAAGGAGAUGAUUCCAGUGCCAAGGGAAAGUAGAAAGCUACAGUUUCAGACUCUGCAAAUGAUGUAACCUACCUCUGGGUGUGUUGACCAACGGCAGAAAAUGGUGGAUGGAAUUGUUCCAACUCAGCAUGCAUCCUCCAGAAACUGGGUCCUUUCUUUUUUUUUUUUUUUUUUUUUUUUCAUCAAAGUUGAACUUUAUUGUUUCAAAGGACACUGCUAAGAAAAUGAAAAGCUAACAUAUUGAAUAGGAGAAGGUACUUGCAAAUUUUACCUCUUAUGAGGGACAUAUAUCCAGAAUAUAUAAAGAACUCUUAAAACUUAACCAUAAAAAGACAAACAAUUUAAAAAAGAGACAAAGGAUUUGAAUAGAAUUUUCUCCAAAAAGAUAUACAAAAUUGCCAAUAAACAUAUGAAAAGAUGUUCAACAUCACUAUCAUUAAGAAAAUGCAAAUUAAAAACACAGUGACAUGUCAUUUCACAUUCAUUACUAAGGCAAAAAUAUAAAGACAAACAAUAAUCAAUAUUAAAAGGCAUGUGGAGAAAUUAGAACUCUUGUACAUUGCUUGUGGGAAUGUAAAAUUGUGCACCCACUUUGCAUAACAGUUCGGCAAGAUGUUAAACAGUUCAAAAUAUUAAAAACAGCAUUACCAUAUAACCCAGAAAUUCCACUUCUGGGUAUAUCCUCAAGAUAAAUAAAAAUAUAGGUUCACAUAAAAACUUGUUUAUGAAUAUUCAUAGCAGCAUUGUUCAUAAUAACCAAGCACUGGAAACAACCCAGAUAUUUAUCAGUGGAUAACUGGAUAAACAGAUUGUGUAUCUGUACGUGGAAUAAUAGUAUUUAAAGGUAUUUAAAUAAUGCUUUAUCUUACAAUAUGGAUGAAUCUUGGGAACGACAUGCAAAGUGAAAGAAGUCCACCCAAG